rnacentral:rRNA from 1 species
UGGGGAAUAUUGCACAAUGGGCGCAAGCCUGAUGCAGCCAUGCCUGAGGUAUUAAUAAGUCCUUCGGGUUGUAAAGUACUUUCAGAGGGUAGGAUGGGAGUAAAGUUAAUACCUUUGCUCCUUGACGUUACCCGCAGAAGAAGCACCGGCUAACUCCGUUCCAGCAGCCGCGUUAAUGCGGAGUCUGCAAUCGUUGAUCGUAAUUACUGGGCGUAAAGCGCACGCGGGUGGUUUGGUAAGUCAGAUGUGAAAUCCGCGGGCUAAACCUGGGAAAAGCAUCGGAUACUGGAAAGGUUGAGUAUCGUAGAGGGGGGGAGAAUUCAAGGGGGAGAGGUGAAAUGCGUAGAGAUCUGGAGGAAGAACGGUGGCGAAGGCGGCACCCUGGAAGAAGACUGACGCUGAGGUGGGAAAGCGUGGGGAGCAAACAGG